UAAGGAAUAUUGCUCAAUGGGAGAAAUCCUGAAGCAGCAACGCCGCGUGGAGGAUGAAGGGUCUAUGACUUGUAAACUCCUGUAAAGAAGGAAAAAAUUCCCAUUAGAUGGGAGAUGAUGGUACUUCUGGAGUAAGCCCCGGCUAACUACGUGCCAGCAGCCGCGGUAAUACGUAGGGGGCAAGCGUUGUCCGGAUUUACUGGGUGUAAAGGGUGCUCAGGCGGAUUUGUAAGUCAGAGGUGAAAUCUUACAGCUUAACUGUGAAACUGCCUUUGAUACUGCAAGCCUAGAGUAUGGAAGAGAGAGACGGAAUUCCAGGUGUAGUGGUGAAAUACGUAGAUAUCUGGAAGAACACCAGUUGCGAAGGCGGUCUCUUGGUCCGACACUGACGCUGAGACGCGAAAGCGUGGGGAGCAAACA
rnacentral:rRNA from 1 species